GUAACAAGGUCUCCGUUGGUGAACCAGCGGAGGGAUCAUUACCGAGUUUACAACUCCCAAACCCCAAUGUGAACGUUACCAAUCUGUUGCCUCGGCGGGAUUCUCUGCCCCGGGCGCGUCGCAGCCCCGGAUCCCAUGGCGCCCGCCGGAGGACCAACUCAAACUCUUUUUUCUCUCCGUCGCGGCUUCCGUCGCGGCUCUGUUUUACCUUUGCUCUGAGCCUUUCUCGGCGACCCUAGCGGGCGUCUCGAAAAUGAAUCAAAACUUUCAACAACGGAUCUCUUGGUUCUGGCAUCGAUGAAGAACGCAGCGAAAUGCGAUAAGUAAUGUGAAUUGCAGAAUUCAGUGAAUCAUCGAAUCUUUGAACGCACAUUGCGCCCGCCAGUAUUCUGGCGGGCAUGCCUGUCCGAGCGUCAUUUCAACCCUCGAACCCCUCCGGGGGGUCGGCGUUGGGGAUCGGCCCCUCACCGGGCCGCCCCCGAAAUACAGUGGCGGUCUCGCCGCAGCCUCUCCUGCGCAGUAGUUUGCACACUCGCACCGGGAGCGCGGCGCGGCCACAGCCGUAAAACACCCCAAACUCUGAAAUGUUGACCUCGGAUCAGGUAGGAAUACCCGCUGAACUUAAGCAUAUCAAUAAG
rnacentral:rRNA from 1 species